rnacentral:rRNA from 1 species
UACCUGGUUGAUCCUGCCAGUAAUCAUAUGCUUGUCUCAAAGAUUAAGCCAUGCAUGUCUAAGUACAUGCCGAAAUAAGGCGAAACCGCGAAUGGCUCAUUAAAUCAGUUAUGGUUCCUUAGAUCGUUUCUUCCUACUUGGAUAACUGUGGCAAUUCUAGAGCUAAUACAUGCAGUGAGCCUGAAGCCCUUUGGGCGACGGGUGCUUUUAUUAGACCAAGAUCGAUCGGGUUUCGGCCCGUAUUGUGUGGUGACUCUGGAUAACUUUGUGCUGAUCGCAUGGCCACGAGCCGGCGACGUUUCUUUCAAGUGUCUGCCUUAUCAACUUUCGAUGGUAGGUUACUUGCUUACCAUGGUUGUUACGGGUAACGGAGAAUCAGGGUUCGAUUCCGGAGAGGGAGCCUGAGAAACGGCUACCACAUCCAAGGAAGGCAGCAGGCGCGCAAAUUACCCACUCCCGGCACGGGGAGGUAGUGACGAAAAAUAACAAUACGGGACUCUUUUGAGGCCCCGUAAUUGAAAUGAGUACACUCUAAAUCCUUUAACGAGGAUCAAUUGGAGGGCAAGUCUGGUGCCAGCAGCCGCGGUAAUUCCAGCUCCAAUAGCGUAUACUAAAGCUGCUGCGGUUAAAAAGCUCGUAGUUGGAUCUCAGUUCCAGACGAGUAGUGCAUCUACCCGAUGCGACGGCUCGGACUGAACAUCAUGCCGGUCCUUUCUUGGUGCACUUCAUUGUGUGCCUCGAGAAGGCCGGUGCUUUUACUUUGAAAAAAUUAGAGUGCUCAACGCAGGCGAGUCGCCUGAAUAAACUUGCAUGGAAUAAUAGAACAAGACCUCGUUUCUGUUCUGUUGGUUUUUGGAAUACGAGGUAAUGAUUAAGAGGGACAGACGGGGGCAUUCGUAUUGCGGCGCUAGAGGUGAAAUUCUUGGACCGUCGCAAGACGAACUACUGCGAAAGCAUUUGCCAAGAAUGUUUUCUUUGAUCAAGAACGAAAGUCAGAGGUUCGAAGGCGAUCAGAUACCGCCCUAGUUCUGACCAUAAACGAUGCCAACCAGCGAUCCGCCUGAGUUACUCAAAUGACUCGGCGGGCAGCUUCCGGGAAACCAAAGUGUUUGGGUUCCGGGGGAAGUAUGGUUGCAAAGCUGAAACUUAAAGGAAUUGACGGAAGGGCACCACCAGGAGUGGAGCCUGCGGCUUAAUUUGACUCAACACGGGAAAACUUACCCGGCCCGGACACUGGGAGGAUUGACAGAUUGAGAGCUCUUUCUUGAUUCGGUGGAUGGUGGUGCAUGGCCGUUCUUAGUUGGUGGAGCGAUUUGUCUGGUUAAUUCCGAUAACGAACGAGACUCUAGCCUAUUAAAUAGGUGCGGGGUUCCCAGCACCUUACAACCUUCUUAGAGGGACAAGCGGCUCCUAGCCGCACGAAACAGAGCAAUAACAGGUCUGUGAUGCCCUUAGAUGUCCGGGGCCGCACGCGCGCUACACUGAAGGAAGCAGCGUGUCUUUAUCCCUGUCUGAAAAGACUGGGUAACCCGUGGAACUUCUUUCGUGAUUGGGAUAGGGGCUUGCAAUUGUUCCCCUUGAACGAGGAAUUCCCAGUAAGCGCGAGUCAUAAGCUCGCGUUGAUUACGUCCCUGCCCUUUGUACACACCGCCCGUCGCUACUACCGAUUGAAUGAUUUAGUGAGGUCUUCGGACCGAUGUCCGGCGCGGCCUUUCGGUUGCGCCGGUCUGUUGGAAAGAUGACCAAACUU